rnacentral:rRNA from 1 species
AGGCGUGAUGCGGAGCGAAAUAAAGUAGCGAAGGUCAUGAUGUCACACUGCCGAGAAAAGCUUCUAGCCAGAGAGAUAUUACCCGUACCGCAAACCGACACAGGUAGUCGAGGAGAGAAUCCUCAGGUGAGCGAGAGAACUCUCGUUAAGGAACUCGGCAAAAUGACCCCGUAACUUCGGGAGAAGGGGUGCUGAUCUCCGGAUCAGCCGCAGUGAAUAGGCCCAAACAACUGUUUAUCAAA